rnacentral:guide_RNA from 1 species
AUAUAAAUACAUGAUAACAAUGGCUGGUAAAGAUGAGAGAGCAAAAAUGUCAUU